UGAGGGAAUAUUGGGACAAUGGAGGCAACUCUGAUCCAGCCAUGCCGCGUGAAGGACUAAGGCCCUAUGGGUCGUAAACUUCUUUUGACGCAGAGCAAUAAGGAUUACGUGUAGUCUGAUGAGAGUAUGCGUCGAAUAAGCAUCGGCUAACUCCGUGCCAGCAGCCGCGGUAAUACGGAGGAUGCAAGCGUUAUCCGGAUUUAUUGGGUUUAAAGGGUGCGUAGGCGGAUGGGUAAGUCAGCGGUGAAAUGUCCCGGCUCAACCGGGGAACUGCCAUUGAUACUGCCUGUCUUGAAUGCGGAUGCCGUGGGAGGAAUGUGUAGUGUAGCGGUGAAAUGCAUAGAUAUUACACAGAACACC
rnacentral:rRNA from 1 species